rnacentral:sRNA from 1 species
GGAUGUGAAGGCAAUUUGGCAGCAACAUCUGUCACCCUAGUGAUUGCCAGGGUUGGUUUGGCUUACCUGGCUGGCUAGGCAAGUGUUGCAUUCCUCCGUCACUGCUCCACGUGCAUCUCUCCGAAAGCUGCAUGCUUGGUGGAAGAUGAUGACCAUCCCAGAUAGGAGUGUACUGUUCUUCAGUCAAGGCUAAUAUGUUAUAUUGGAAUGGAAUAUGAGCAUAUAUGAAUACUUCGUAAAGAACACUGCAUGCAAACAUAAAAAUACCUAGGGCAGCAACCCACAG